AGAGUUUGAUCAUGGCUCAGGAUGAACGCUGGCGGCGUGCCUAACACAUGCAAGUCGAGCGAUUCUCUUCGGAGAAGAGCGGCGGACGGGUGAGUAACGCGUGGGUAACCUGCCCUGUACACACGGAUAACAUACCGAAAGGUAUGCUAAUACGAGAUAAUGUGCUUUUAUCGCAUGGUAGAAGUAUCAAAGCUUUUGCGGUACAGGAUGGACCCGCGUCUGAUUAGCUAGUUGGUAAGGUAACGGCUUACCAAGGCGACGAUCAGUAGCCGACCUGAGAGGGUGAUCGGCCACAUUGGAACUGAGACACGGUCCAAACUCCUACGGGAGGCAGCAGUGGGGAAUAUUGCACAAUGGGCGAAAGCCUGAUGCAGCAACGCCGCGUGAGCGAUGAAGGCCUUCGGGUCGUAAAGCUCUGUCCUCAAGGAAGAUAAUGACGGUACUUGAGGAGGAAGCCCCGGCUAACUACGUGCCAGCAGCCGCGGUAAUACGUAGGGGGCUAGCGUUAUCCGGAAUUACUGGGCGUAAAGGGUGCGUAGGUGGUUUCUUAAGUCAGAGGUGAAAGGCUACGGCUCAACCGUAGUAAGCCUUUGAAACUGGGAAACUUGAGUGCAGGAGAGGAGAGUGGAAUUCCUAGUGUAGCGGUGAAAUGCGUAGAUAUUAGGAGGAACACCAGUUGCGAAGGCGGCUCUCUGGACUGUAACUGACACUGAGGCACGAAAGCGUGGGGAGCAAACAGGAUUAGAUACCCUGGUAGUCCACGCCGUAAACGAUGAGUACUAGCUGUCGGAGGUUACCCCCUUCGGUGGCGCAGCU
rnacentral:rRNA from 1 species